GGCCUUUUGAGUAUAAUUUAAGGUCGGGCCUGCCCAAUGAAUUUUUAAUGGCCGCGGUAUUUUGACCGUGCAAAGGUAGCAUAAUCAUUAGUUUUUUAAUUGAAAGCUUGUAUGAAGGGUUUAAUGAAAAAAUAGCUGUCUCUAUUUAAAUUUAUUAGAAUUUUAUUUUUAAGUGAAAAAGCUUAAAUAUUUAUAGAAGACGAGAAGACCCUAUAGAGUUUAUAUAUUUUUAUAGAAAAUGUUUUUAGGAUUUUAAAAUUUAUUUUAUAAAAGUAUUUAGUUGGGGUGAUUGAAAAAUUAAGUAAACUUUUUUUAUAUUUUUACAUUGAUUUAUGAAUAAAUGAUCCUUUAUUUAGGAUAAUAAGAAGAAAUUACCUUAGGGAUAACAGCGUAAUUUUUUUUAAGAGUUCAAAUCUAAAAAAAAGAUUGCGACCUCGAUGUUGGAUUAAAAUUUAUUUUUGGUGUAGCAGCUAAAAUAUUAGGUCUGUUCGACCUUUGAAAUUUUACAUGAUCUGAGUUUAAACCGGUGUAAG
rnacentral:rRNA from 1 species